rnacentral:rRNA from 1 species
CCUACGGGAGGCAGCAGUGAGGAAUAUUGGUCAAUGGCCGGAAGGCUGAACCAGCCAAGCCGCGUGAAGGACGAAGGUGCCAAGCAUUGUAAACUUCUUUUGUCAGGGGACAAAAUCAGGCUCGAGAGCCUGACCGAGGGUACUUGAACAAAAAGCAUCGGCUAACUCCGCGCCAGCAGCCGCGGUAAUCCGGAGGAUGCGAGCGUUAUCCGGAUUUAUUGGGGUUAACGGGUGCGUAGGCGGGCUGUUAAGUCAGCGGUAAAAGCCCGGGGCUCAACCCCGGAGAGCCGUUGAAACUGGGUGUCUUGAGAUGUCGAGGGGUAGGCGGAAUGCGCAGUGUAGCGGUGAAAUGCGUAGAUAUUGCGCAGAACUCCGAUUGCGAAGGCAGCAUACCGGCGGCGAUCUGACGCUGAGGCACGAAAGCGUGGGUAGCGAACAGGAUUAGAUACCCUUGUAGUC